GUCGAAUUGCACAUCUACCCUGAACCUCCCAUCGGUAAUUGAAGAGAGCCAGACGUUUUCGGAGCGUUAUCAUGAAAUUCUGUCGGUCGGUUUUGUGUCGGCGGUAGCCCAUUUUUCACAGGCGACGACGAAAGAUUCUUCAGCAAAAUGAGAAACUCGCGAUGGACACGCGACGCUAAUGCACGACAGGGACGAAAAAACGGACGAAGAAGAGUUGCUGAGAAGGCAUAGUGGGCUGGAGGACCAAGUGGUGACACAACGGAUGAUUCCACCGAUCUGUAACAGCAGGUUAUAAUGGUAUAUCGUAUGUACAUCUCAGUGGAAGUGCGCGGCCGUUUAGAUUUUAAGGCCCGAGAUUUCGAUGGUGCACAUGCCAGGGUAGCGAGCGAACAACAUAUGCUUUCCUCCUUGAGUCGUUCGUAUUAAAAGGUUGUAGCUGACGUGGCGUACCUUUCCACCAGGGUCGCGUCAAAGGUGACAUGCUCAACCCUGCGGACCUCGUGGGUCUUAAAGAAUGAGUGUAGGACGUAUCAAGGAGUUUAUACCUGAUUAAUGAGCCUUCAGGCUCAUUUAAGAGUUAAGCAUCAGACGGCAGCGCCCCAAUGAAUCGUUAUUCUACUGGAUCUCGUCUAGUGGUGGUGGUCUACGUAACUGGAAAUCGUAUGAUCAUGACUAGUAGUUACUGAUGGAUCAGUGAAACGAAUUGGCUGAAAAAUUUUGUUCAUAAGGGAAGGGAACGCUCUCUCAGAGCGCGUGUUUUUUUCUAGGUCAAUUGGUCGCUCGGAGAACCGAUACUGAAACGUCACCGAUGUUCCUAUCGGGUGAUUCGCAACGAUUGGACGAAGCUUAAAAAUGACAGAUUUUGGACUCGGACGGAAACGAAACGCUCAGAAAUUAGGCGAAACAAAGGGCGACUUUCUACAUGCUUCGGCAUCUACCUAAAGGUGCAUCUGACUUCAGCCGAACAAGUGGUUACUAGAAAUAUAUCAGAACAAAAAAAGUUGCGUCAAAAAUGAACUGUCUUCAUAAAUGAUCGAGUAAAUUAUGGUUCGGGUUUGCAAAUUUCGAAGACGAUAGUCACGCAUCUGCUGAACGUGGCCAAGGAACUGUUCUCGAAGCCUUUGAUUCUGAUUCGCUG